AAAUUGAAGAGUUUGAUCAUGGCUCAGAUUGAACGCUGGCGGCAGGCCUAACACAUGCAAGUCGAACGGUAACAGGAAGCAGCUUGCUGCUUCGCUGACGAGUGGCGGACGGGUGAGUAAUGUCUGGGAAACUGCCUGAUGGAGGGGGAUAACUACUGGAAACGGUAGCUAAUACCGCAUAAUGUCGCAAGACCAAAGAGGGGGACCUUCGGGCCUCUUGCCAUCGGAUGUGCCCAGAUGGGAUUAGCUUGUUGGUGGGGUAACGGCUCACCAAGGCGACGAUCCCUAGCUGGUCUGAGAGGAUGACCAGCCACACUGGAACUGAGACACGGUCCAGACUCCUACGGGAGGCAGCAGUGGGGAAUAUUGCACAAUGGGCGCAAGCCUGAUGCAGCCAUGCCGCGUGUAUGAAGAAGGCCUUCGGGUUGUAAAGUACUUUCAGCGGGGAGGAAGGGAGUAAAGUUAAUACCUUUGCUCAUUGACGUUACCCGCAGAAGAAGCACCGGCUAACUCCGUGCCAGCAGCCGCGGUAAUACGGAGGGUGCAAGCGUUAAUCGGAAUUACUGGGCGUAAAGCGCACGCAGGCGGUUUGUUAAGUCAGAUGUGAAAUCCCCGGGCUCAACCUGGGAACUGCAUCUGAUACUGGCAAGCUUGAGUCUCGUAGAGGGGGGUAGAAUUCCAGGUGUAGCGGUGAAAUGCGUAGAGAUCUGGAGGAAUACCGGUGGCGAAGGCGGCCCCCUGGACGAAGACUGACGCUCAGGUGCGAAAGCGUGGGGAGCAAACAGGAUUAGAUACCCUGGUAGUCCACGCCGUAAACGAUGUCGACUUGGAGGUUGUGCCCUUGAGGCGUGGCUUCCGGAGCUAACGCGUUAAGUCGACCGCCUGGGGAGUACGGCCGCAAGGUUAAAACUCAAAUGAAUUGACGGGGGCCCGCACAAGCGGUGGAGCAUGUGGUUUAAUUCGAUGCAACGCGAAGAACCUUACCUGGUCUUGACAUCCACAGAACCCUGUAGAGAUACGGGGGUGCCUUCGGGAACUGUGAGACAGGUGCUGCAUGGCUGUCGUCAGCUCGUGUUGUGAAAUGUUGGGUUAAGUCCCGCAACGAGCGCAACCCUUAUCCUUUGUUGCCAGCGGUCCGGCCGGGAACUCAAAGGAGACUGCCAGUGAUAAACUGGAGGAAGGUGGGGAUGACGUCAAGUCAUCAUGGCCCUUACGACCAGGGCUACACACGUGCUACAAUGGCGCAUACAAAGAGAAGCGACCUCGCGAGAGCAAGCGGACCUCAUAAAGUGCGUCGUAGUCCGGAUUGGAGUCUGCAACUCGACUCCAUGAAGUCGGAAUCGCUAGUAAUCGUGGAUCAGAAUGCCACGGUGAAUACGUUCCCGGGCCUUGUACACACCGCCCGUCACACCAUGGGAGUGGGUUGCAAAAGAAGUAGGUAGCUUAACCUUCGGGAGGGCGCUUACCACUUUGUGAUUCAUGACUGGGGUGAAGUCGUAACAAGGUAACCGUAGGGGAACCUGCGGUUGGAUCACCUCCUUA
rnacentral:rRNA from 1 species